UAACUCAUCAGACAAAAACAUGUUUUUUGGGGAAACGGGAAAACUGACCACAAAGAAUCAUUUUUCUUUUUCAUUCUACCAUCACUACAAACAUCUAAGAGUUAAAUAUCUGAGUAUUUGAACCAUGCCUUAAAAUACUGAUGGAGAUGGCAGAGACGAACACAGUCAGAUGAUAUGGAAGUGUUCUUCACACACACGUUGCUAUGGUGGGCAAUACAAAUAGAACACUGGGUCCGAAACCAUCUUAAGUCAAUUAAUGUGGGGGCUGUUUCUAUCUCACGUACUAGAAAUAAGAACACAGUCUAUUUUAGCGUUAUCUUAAUAGUUAAGUGAGUUAACGUGAAAGUGCUCCAUAAAAUGUUCCCCAAAUGCUCAAACUACCCUUCCCUGUUGAGCAAGAACAAAACAGCAGCUGGUAACCCUCCCCAAGAUGAUCUGUCUGUCUGCCUGCCUCUUCCCACGUAGCUCCUUAUCACUCUCAGGACGGUGAGGGGAUAGCGGGGAACUGUUUGGCGUAAUAGGCAUCUGGCGGCUUAGGAGGCGGGGCGAGACCUCGGUCUCGAGUAUAAAUCCCUCUCGCCUACGCGCUGCGGCAGCUCUCCUUCUGGAGACACUCGCCCAGGCAGGUAAGCACAGAUGGACCUGACCGCAGGUAUCGGCAAGGGCGCUCGGGGCUCGCAGGCGAUGGGCUGAGGCGGACGGCGCGGGACCCACGGAAGAUGCAGGUACAGGCUUAGCUUAACCCUGGCCAACCGCGCUGAAGGUGCAUUUUCUUCUCAUGUGGACAGAACAGACGGAAGGACUGGUCUGAGCGGCCGCCCACAUGCCGUUCCUCUGGUGAGGCUGAGAGACAAAGCCCAGGAGAACCUGGAGGGCACAUCUGGCUUCGGACGGAGGGACCCCCAGAGGAAUGAAAGCCCCAUCAACUAGACAGAAAAAAAAGAAAUCCAAGGGUCCAAAGGAGGAUUGCUGCAAGUUUGAGCGCAGCCUGGGCUACAUAGUGAGACCCUGUCUCAAAAAAACAAACAAAAAGGUAUAACCACCAUAUAUACCACAGCCACAAAGCCUGUGGGCCCUGGAUUUUUAGCACGCCUGUGGUUUUUUUUUUUUUUUUGGUACCAGGGAUUGAAUUUGGGUCCUUGCGCUUGCGCAGCAAGCAGUGAAACCACUGAGCUAAAUCCCCGAACCCUACACGCCUGUGUUUUGACUGUAAUGUGAAGUCAAGUGUGGAAUCUUUCACUGAUGGCAUCGUGUCAGUGCUCAGAAAGUGUCAGAUUUGGGAGCAUUUUGGCUUUCAGACUUUUAGAUUAGGGAUGCUCAACCUGUGUUUCUAUUCCCCGUAUAGCAGCAAAGUGGCUGCACUUUCUUGUUUAAUUGUUCUCUGUUCCCCUUCUGACCUCCACCUUCCCCUUGCCCGUGGGCCUUGUUCCAUGAAGGACCCGGAGGGAUGGGGGCUUCCAAAUACCUCAGGCCUAGGUUGCUGGCCCCUGUGCAUGUGUGGAAAGCAUCGCUAGAACUGGAGGUGUUUCAAAGGGAGUGAAGAGCACAUAAGAACAAGUGAUCUAAUACACAGGGUGAAUUCUUGGUAAUUAAAGCCAUGAGCAAGGAGGCAAAACAGACCUUGAAGGACGACGGCACACCUUGAUUCUUCAGAAAGACAUUCCAUAACGUCUAGGAGACUAUAAUUUAGCUUUCUAGCUUGGAAAUGCCAUAAACAAUACUUGCCAAAUCGGGAUGUUACAGAUUCUCACUCGUGUGGCAAGUACAGCUGGCAACUGGGAGAAAGCCAUCCAAGGACCAAGACUCCUCCAGCAAACCCCUGCCCCCCAGACGCACAUUUGGACACCACUUUAGGAGGGGCACGGGCUCCGGGAGCUACCGCGGACCUGAGGUUCAGAACUGAUUUUCAAAGGAAGCAUGAGGUUGUCAGAAUGCUUUCUCACCAGAAUCUGUAGGCGCUCCUAAGUUUUCUGAUGCCUGGUUAUGCUGAGUCCACUUACCAAUGUCCCCUCCCUCACCCUUCUGCCUCAGUCCCUUCCCGUGGUUGCGGGGCUGCUCUGGAGUCCAGAGACCGCAGUGGUCCACACAGCCAGCUAAGUGGCAACAUCUAGACAAUGGCAAGCAAGACAGCACCAUCCAAGGGAAGGACCGAGGCUGGAUACAGACACAGGGGGAGUCAGAGAAAGUUCUUCUGUUGUUAAAAUCAACAAGUACAAUGUCUCCAGAGAGGCCCAGAGGUCCCAUUAAGAAAUGGCCUACUUAAAUGGUCUCCAAAAGUUGGCAGCUAUCCUCAUGGGAACCAACAGCAGGAGCAGAAGCUGCUGUGAAUGAAGCUGAAAUGUCUUUUCUCACAUCUGGCUCUGUCUUGAUCACGUCCCUCCUCUGCCCAGGCUCCUCUGGGAGCUUCCUGUCUCACUAAGAGCUGAGGUCCACGAGGCCCUGACUGCACCCUGAGCACACCUACUCACCCCUCACCCCUUCUAUCCCAGCUACACUGCCCUCCUCACUGUUCCUCGAACACACCAGGCUUGCUGCCCCAGGGCCCUUGCAUGCACGGUCUCCUGUGCCUAGGACUCUCCACCUAUAUACCUUCAUGGUUCCCACACACACACUUUUUUCAAGUUUUUACUCCAUUGUCACCUCAGAUAGGCCUUCCCUAGUUAUGCUUUUGAAAAAUCCCAUGCCCACAGUUGGCAGAGCCAGGAUUUCAACCCAGCUCAUGAUUCCAAGUUCCCUGAGCCCAUUGCCCUUGCCUGGAAGCCCUGGGACAGAAGAGAGGCCGAGACCCAUCUUUCUGGAAUCAGCCAAUGCUUCCGGAGAGCAGGGCUGGGAACCAAGUCCGGGCACCCAUUUGGUGUGGCUGUGAAAUGGUGGGGUCAUUCUGUUUGCUUCUGAACUUCACCGAAAAAUGUAAUCGAGACUGCCAAUUAAAAGCUGUUUUCAUGACCCCAGAAAAUCCACGGAUUGGCGACAUUUACUUUCAACAGUCUUUCCACCCUAACAGGAAAAGAGGCGGAGCCGGGAAGUUUAUUAUGACAGCUGCUUUCAUACCCCAAACAAGGUUGGGCUGUUUUUGGCAGGUUGCACUGUAGUAGAGCUGGCAAGAGGCUGACAGGCUGCGUGAGUUUCCUUUCAAAAGAUCACUUUGCUUCCUUAAAAACCCCACCGCUGCACUACGGCAUCUACGUGAACUGCAGAUGUUUGCCCCUCUGCCCCUGGGGUGUCCGCCCUACCUGGGCAUGAGACUGCAGACUGCAGAGACCUUGGUCAGACAGAACCCACUGUCCUUUAGAGAAGCGGCUAAACUCUCCGAGCCCCAGUGUCCUCAAGUCAGGGUUACCAUGAGGACCGGGGGACGGCAAAUAGAGCCCAUGGCACAGGGCCAGAACCGUGGGCAGCUGUCGUGAUGAUGUGGUCAUUAUAAGGACUUCAGGUGGCAAGAGGCUGAGUCCUGGCCCUUCUGAGGGCUCUUCUGAGAGAUCCCAUUUGCAAAAUGCAAGCCACAAAGAAUGUAAAGUGCAGUCCUUCUUCUUAUGGAUUUUAAGGAAGUGACUCGGCACCCUCUUCCCUGUGACCCCACAAGUGGGUAGGAAAUGGAGCGAGGAUGGAUGCCAGCCCCCCCCACACACACACAUGUCACCGCCCUCGGGGUCCCAAGCAUGGAGAAGGGGUGGGAGAGGUGAAGACCGGGGUGGCCCGGAGGGCAGGGCUUCACCGGGCUUAAACUGGAAAUCCUACAGGAAGCGAAGACUCGUGGCUGUGGGGGCUGGGCUGUGCCUCCUCCUCCCCCGAACCCGUGCUCAGCAAACACCUGAAACCAUUUCAGUGCUAAUGGCUUCCAGAUGGCAGAAGAGCAGCGACCAGCACAGGACAGACUCAACACGUGGGAGCCUGGGGUCUGAUGCCCACCAGCCCUGCUGCUGAACCCACGCAGAUUAGGACUGGAGCCCCGGCAAGCUUGGGGCCCCAGCUGGACCCAACAGUGGGCGCUGGGCAUGUCAGGAUGGGCUUGUCCGCAAAGCCACCCUCCUUGCCUCUCCAGCAUCCAGCCCAGGCAGCACAGCAAGGAAAAGAACCUCCCAGUGCCCUGGGAUUUGGGGCUGUGGUGGAGGAAACCCUUGGCCAUUGCUGGCAAUUUUGAAAAUCUAUUUUUGAUUUCCAAAAGCUUUUAAAUCUUCUGUCUUUGCAGAGCCUGGGUUUGGAGGAUUUGCUUCCCAGAGAGGCAGGGAAGCUGGUGAGCAGCCCAAGAAAGACAGGACAGGGAUUCAAAAGGCCACCACUAGCUGGGCGCAGGAACAGCAACUCUCCUGGGGAGGAGCGGGGAGAGGGAAGGUGUGCGGUGGGGCCCUGCUUCUUCCCACAAGGGCUGCAGGUCCUUUCCGCUCAGAUGUUGAAGCAGCCCAAACACCAAGCAUCUGAAGGUAGAAAUUGGAACUGUACACAUCUUCAGCCUAGCUGAUCCCUAAGGGUGAUGGUCCAGUAGUCAGUGAUCAGGCAGAAAGGGCGGCCCAGAGCAUGGCCCAGGUGGGUGGCAGCCCUGCCCACAUCCCAGCGGAGACAUUAAAGACACACACUCGAGCAAUUCUUAGUGGGUGGAACACCCUGGAGCAGCCAACACACUUUCCACUGCUGACACGAAGCUUCCACUGCCUGGUGUUUUCCCGGAGGGCACCCUGCUCCGGGUGGACCAUGCUGUACCAGGCUGAGGAGACAUCACAAGCCCAGGCUGGGAAUUAAAAACAAAAACAGAUUAUAAAUAAAAGUAGCUGUUCCACUGUUUAAGGAAAGUAGCUGCAAGGGCAGGGGCCAGCGCUGCGAGAAUAUUCUUCCGUGUGUGAAGGUAGGUAAAAAUCCCAAGUGUGUUGCUUGGUGAAUCAAAGCAGACUCAGUGGCCACUGGUCCUUCGGCCAGUGGUCAGUAUCAAGUCCUGCAGGGCAUGGCAAGUGGGGGAGAGAGAACAAAGCAAACAGCACCCGGUGUCUGCAUCCAGGUGCUCACCAGGGGCAAUCAUAGUGGCCUGUCGACACCUAGCUUCCUCAUAUAAUCUGGACUGCUCUGCUGCAGAAAGCCUGAAGUCGAAGGUAUACUAAUUAUCUUAUUCAGGUCAUCCAGGACUCUUCUUUUCUGUGUGACAUACUUCGUCCCAAUUCAUUUUCCCUCCUCCUUUCCUUGCCCAUACUGUUAGCCUCUCAGUUCUCAUCUGUCUGUCCCUUCUUCCCCUACAUGCCUCCUCUGCCACCCCUCCAUUCUCAGCAGCUCUAUUUCUCUUGGUUCUUUCCUGCCAACAGUGCCCUCAGGAACUUUACAUGCAAACGUCCAUGGGUGAACACCCUUGGAUGAGUUUGGAGCAGGACAUGGUAGAUGGGCGUGGGAUGCUUUCCAACAAGCCUGCCUUCCCUGACACACUCACUGUCAGCAGACAAAGUUGGAUGAAUCAUUCAACCUUCCUAUCAUAACACUUGAACUUUAUUAGGAGGAAAAGUUUGAACAAACAGAAAUGUUCACUUCCUCUGAACUGGAUCCAUGACACCGCAAAAUUUUGGAAAAGUGAAGGAAACAUGAAAAUCACAGAAGGAGAAAGGCAAAAAAAUUAAAGAAACAAACAGCACAAGGGUAGACUCAACUCCAGACUGGUGACAGUGUAUUCGGGUCAAAGCUCAAGAUCUGAAAACUGUGUCUUAAUGGCCCACUAAGUCGUGGUCCUCCAUGCUUCUGCCACGUAUGUGAUUUAGAGGGAAGUGGUCCAGUCCCGAGGGGCUCGUGAGCCUGUAUGCGUGAUGGUUCAAUUGAGAGCACCAAGUGGCCCAGUCAGGGAGGUGGCAACACAAAGGUCAGGUGUGCAGGAGGGGACCAUUCAUCAGCCCAACACGUGAGCAGGCCCAGGGCAGCGCACAGGAUGAGAGCCAUCUGCUAGCUUUGCUUGCAAGACCCGAUUGAGAAGCCACCAGCACAAAACCACAAAGGAGAAGAUGAAGCUGGAUUUCCGGAGGAAGAAGCAAAGAUUUCUACCCAGAGCUGAGGUAUCUGCCUUCAGACAAGGCAUGAAUGCCAGUCUGCAUCUCCACGCUGUCUGCUUUUCGAGGAAGGGCAAUCCCUGCAUGGGGAGUCUGUGGCUUCCCAGUAUUGCAUGCUGGCCACUUGAGUGGGUCUGAUUCUGGAUUCGGCAUUGAGAACUCACUGUUACAGCACCCCUAAUCCGUCCCCUCUCAUUUGGCCUUUAUCACUCUACAGAACAAGGAACUCUCGGAAGAGCACACAACUACCCACACCAACCAGGGUCAGCUUAGUUACAUUUUCAACAAAGGCAACAGGGCACCGCUGGAGACCUCUACCUGGACACCCACACUGGGCCAAGUGUGCUCAGAUAAGGGUCAGCUAACCACAGCACCUCACACGGUGCUCCUUUCCCCAACUUUUCGUGGGCCAAAGUAUCUCUUCCUCCUAAAAUAACGCUCUUCCCCCGUAGAGUAUCUGAGCCGCAGGUUAGGAGGAAAACAACCUGACCGCAUUAUUGACAAUUUCAUGUGAAGGUGGAGCAACUGAAUUCACUGACAGAAUGGAAUGUAGAAGUGAUGGAAUUUCAGCCAAUGUCCUUUUGCAAAAGAAGUUAUUUCACCCCAAAUUAGAAUAGAAUGUUUGAAAAUGAGAGCUGGCCCUCUGUAUCCCUGGUUCUGAAUCCUAUGAUUCAAGCAACUACGGAUCAAAGGUAUUUUUAAAAAUUGCAGCUGUACUGAAUGUGUACAGACUUCUUUCUAUCAUUACCCUCUAAGCAAUACUGUUUAAUAACUGUUUACAUAGCAUUUACAUUGUAUCAAGUGUUAGAAGUAACCUAGAGAUGAUUUAAUGUAUACAGGAGGGUGUGUGCAGGUUAUAUGCAAAAACAAUGCCAUUUUCUAGAAGGGGCUUGAGCGCCUGCAGACUUUGGUGCCUGCGGGAGGUCCUGAGAUCAAUCUCUUGCAGAUGCCAAGGGACAACUAUGCAUCCAUUCCUCUCACACACAGACAGGUGCGUAGAGUCACAGUAUAGAAUACUAUGCAGCAAUUACAAAGGGGAAUGGUUAGCACUCUAUAUACUAACAUAGAGACUCCAGGAUAUGUAACAGCAGCCCCUUUUGGACUAAAGCCCAACCUCGAGAUCACAAAUAAGCCCACCCCUGCUCUUCCUCUGUUGAUUCUGAGUAGGCCUCCCUCCUUCCCUGAGAGAACCAGGCCUGCUUGUUACUACACAGACUCCAGCCUAAAGAGCACUGGAAGAAAAAGCACUUCUGGAAAGCUAAUGACAGGAUUCUCACUCACAGUCGGAAGCUCACUCACAGGUCUGGCCACAGAUGGGAAUCCACAAACCUUGUUCACAACUAUCUAAUGACUGGUUUUUGCUCUACUCUAAGGCCAAAGAUAAGGUCCUCGUGGCAGUUUUGUCUUUAAUAUUAAAAGCACAAGAAAACAACCGCAAAGCUGUGAGCUAACACGCUGCCCACUCAUUUCUCAGGCUGCUGCCUCAGUGGUGGCCAGGUCCCCAGGGCUUUGCCUGGUGGGGGCUCUGCUGGCCCACUCAUAUCUGCCCCUCCUCAGAGCAGGGCGCAGAAUGGGCCACCCCGCUGCCUGAGGGCUGCCUGCUGUGGAAGCAGAGUGGGCCCAGCCUCUCCUCAAGCCAGGGACAAUGGCAAACCUGAGUUAGGCUCUUUCAAAGCAGAAACCCCUGUCUGGGAAUUUGUUUUUUGACGUCCUUUUGCCCAUCUUUUUUUAAUCCUCUUGAACCAAGGAUCACUUGGCAAAUGAUUUGUGCUAAGGGAUUAAAAAGAUAAUAGAAGAAAUCCGUGCAUGCAUCGUAAUCCCCCAAAGUUAGGAAGGCCCUGUCUUCCUAAUGCCCUGCGCAUGGUUUAGCAGCAGGUCACGGGAGGCACCGGGACACUCUUGGCCUGCACACUGCUGGGACAGACAUUGUCCCCAAGGCAGCAAGCCAUCGCCUGUCAGGAAGUAAACACACAGUGUCUGUGGGCAGCUUUAUGUCCAGAGGGAAUUGGUUCCACUGUUUAUUUUUGGGGGGGUGGGGGAGAUCUGCUAAGUCAGGCUGACCCCAUCCUCCUGCCUCAGCCUCCUAAGUAGCCAGGAAGGACCAAAGGACCAUGCCAGGGCACCCAGCUACUCUUACUUCUAACUUGAACUUCUGGCUUCCCCAAAGCCAUUUCUAAACAAUGGGUUUUCCAGUGUGGCUGUCAGAGGGUUUUGUUCCCAUUACCUUAGCAUGAACUCAACUUCUAACAACUUGGGGGAAGAAGGGGAAAGCUAUCAGAUGUGCAGCUGCUUGCACCAUGUGGAGCCAGUCUUCCUAAAUUCCCAGUGUUUUCAGCUGAAAGUGACUUAGUGUGCAUAAGCACAGCUAGAAUGGGACAAGCAGAACUGUGUGUGUCCAGAUGGGAAAGGCAGCUCUGAACCAUUUUCCCUGGUCAGGUUCGGGGUGGGCUGCUUCUGGAAACCUUUGGAAGUAAUCGCAUCAGAGUGCCUCACUUCUUCCUUGAAAACAGUAUGCACACGUUCCAGGUUCCCACCGCACUGAUGGCUGGGAUCUUCCCAGCUAUCAUCUGGAGGGCGGAGGGUGGUGCCAGUGGGCACAGGCAGCGCUCUGGCUGUCACUGUUCAGGCUGACUGGGAGAAGAGUCCUGACUUCCGAGACGCUGGUGUACAACUCAGUACAUCAUGACAGCAGUGAUAUCAAUGUCUGAAUUUACCUCCUCUUGGUGCUCUUUGGGGGGAAUCAAGAAGAGAUGAUCUUUACCCACCAGUUCUCCAUAGCAUAUCACGAAGUAACUAGGCACAAGUUAGCUCUUUCCUUGGUCAAUGAAAAUGCAGGCAGGAGGUGGCCACAGUUAUUUUUAGCACUUAGAAAGCAAUCCUAAUAACCCCAGUUCAAGCUCAUCAUUGCAUUUAUGAUGAGUGAGAACUUUCAGGAAGACCUGGCCAUUGCAUGCCCUAUAAAUUCACUCUUCCUUUGGAUACGCCAGGUGGGCCUGGGGAGGUAGAAAAAUAACUGUACUGACAUCAAAAGCCUUGGGUUACAAUCUUGGUUCUCGCGCCAAACACCCAUGCCAAUUUGCCCAAGCCUUCUCGUCCUCAUCUCUGAUGGAAUCAUCCUGCACAAAGCUUUCAUGCAGUUCAAAUUAAGACACUGGAUGGGAAGGAUAGGCAUAUAGUUUAUAAAUUAUACUGUUAUGUAACUUUGUGGGAUUUGUUAUUUGUGUUAUGCAAAAUUAACCCUCCUUUUGGUGAACACCACAGCCUUCUGAAUCAAGAACAAAGCAAAACAAAUAUACUUGUGAACGUAGGUUUAUGCUUUCUGGACUUGGUUUAUGCUUCACACAAUUACUUCAGUUAGUAAGCAAAAGGGGCCAAAUCCCAAAGAUCCUCAGCCCACAGCUUUACUUCUGAAACAUGAGGGCUUCUAUAGACCUCCUGUCUGCCUGGAGUUCAGAGCAAGACAGGUGCUGCCAGGCUAGGGAAUUUACGUAACCACCGGUCCCAAUGCCAGGUCACUUUGAGUGGGGCCAUGGGGUUGCACUGUUAGUCCCUAAAGAUCAAUCGCUUCUCUUCCAUAAUUAAACACCUUUGGAAAUUAUUCUUUUCUUUGCUGCAUAGCCCAGGGUUGAAAUCCUUUGUUCUUGAGGUCUUUGAUAGGGAAUAAAAGCUCAAGUUUGCUGUCUGCUAUUACUUUUUUUUUUUUGGUACCAGGAAUUGAUCUCAGGACCUUGCACUUAUGAGGCAGGCAGCGGUACCACUGUGUUAAAUCCCCGGCCCUACUGUCUAUUACUUUUUAAGAUACCUGCUGUAAGAAAUAAUCUUCAUGAAUGAUUGCCUAACAGAUAAAGGAACAUCUAUUCCUGUAGAUACCCUAUAUUGUAUCCACACAUCAAGCCAAACCAUCAGAAAGCAGCAGGCAUAAGCCGAAUCGUUCUGGCCUCGUAUAGAGUUGUGUUACUGAAUUACACUUUGGCAGUGUGCCACUGAUUCGCAGUGAGGGACAUUACAAGACACAGUCCCAUCAGAAUUCCUAGCGAGGAGAUACUCUUGAAGAUCUUCCCCCUUUAUCUCACUUGCAGCCUUCGAUGAGAAUCAAUAGAGAAAUUUCCCCACACUCUUGUUCUAGCAGAGGCCUGUUUCUCUUAAGCAAAUGGCUUUUUUCAUACAGGCACAAUGAAUUUCAUAUUUCCAUUUUUGCGUUGGUGUCUGUGAAGCUCAGGGUCAAAUUUUCUUCCAUUUUUGACAACUGGGUAUGAAUUGUA